GACGAACGCUGGCGGCGUGCUUAACACAUGCAAGUCGAACGGAAAGGCCCUGCUUUUGUGGGGUGCUCGAGUGGCGAACGAGUGAGUAACACGUGAGUAACCUGCCCUUGACUUUGUGAUAACUUCAGGAAACUGGGGCUAAUACCGGAUAGGAGCUCCUGCUGCAUGGUGGGGGUUGGACAGUUUCGGCGGUUGGGGAUGGACUCGCGGCUUAUCAGCUUGUUGGUGGGGUAGUGGCUUACCAAGGCUUUGACGGGUAGCCGGCCUGAGAGGGUGACCGGCCACAUUGGGACUGAGAUGCGGGCCAGACUCAUACGGGAGGCAGCAGUGGGGAAUAGUGCACGAUGGGCGGAAGCCGGAUGCAGCAACGCCGCGUGCGGGAUGACGGCCUUCGGUUUGUAAUCCGCUGUCGCCUGUGACGAAGCGGGAGUGACGGUAAUAGGUAAAGAAGCACCGGCUAACUACGUG
rnacentral:rRNA from 1 species